GGCCGAUUGACUGUAGCACUUUCACAGCAUCAUCUUUCAGGAUUUGAAAUAGCUCAACUGGAAUUCCAUCACCUCCACUAGCUUUGUUCAUAGUGAUGCUUUCUAAGGCCCAUUUGACUUCACAUUCCAGGAUGUCUGGCUCUAGGUGAGUGAUCACACCAUCGUGAUUAUCUUGGUCAUGAAGAUCUUUUUGCAUAGUUCUUCUGUGUAUUCUUGCCACCUCUUCUUAAUAUCUUCUGCUUCUGUUGGUCCAUCCUGUUUCUGUCCUGUAUCAAGCCCAUGGUUGCAUGAAAUGUUCCCUUGGUAUCUCUCAUUUUCUGAAGAGAUCUCUAGUCUUUCCUAUUCUGUUGUUUUCCUCUAUUUCUUUGCAUUGAUUGCUGAGGAAGGCUUUCUUAUCUCUUCUUUCUAUUCUUUGGAACUCUGCAUUCAGAUGCUUAUAUCUUUCCUUUUCUCCUUUGCUUUUCACUUCUCUCCUUUUCACAGCUAUUUGUAAAGCCUCCUUAGACAGCCAUUUUGCUUUUUGCAUUUCUUUUCCAUGGGGAUGGUCUUGAUCCCUGCCUCCUGUACAGUGUCACAAACCUCAGUCCAUAGUUCAUCAGGCACUCUGUCUAUCAGAUAUAGGCCCCUAAAUCUAUUUCUCACUUCCACUGUAUGAUCAUAAGGGAUUUGAUUUAGUUCAUACCUGACUGGUCUAGUGGUUUUCCCUACUUUCUUCAACUUAAGUCUGAAUUUGGCAAUAAGGAGCUCAUGAUCUGAGCCACAGUCAGCUCCUGGUCUUGUUUUUGUUGACUCUAUAGAGCUUCUCCAUCUUUGGCUGCAAAGAAUAUAAUCAAUCUGAUUUCGGUGUUGACCAUCUGGUGAUGUCCAUGUGUAGAGUCUUCUCUUGUGUUGUUGGAAGAGGGUGUCGGCUAUGACCAGUGCAUUUUCUUGGCAAAACGCUAUUAGUCUUUGCCCUGCUUCAUUCUGUAUUCCAAGGCCAAAUUUGCCUGUUACUCCAGGUGUUUCCUGACUUCCUACUUUUGCAUUCCAGUCCCCUAUAAUGAAAAGGACAUGUUUUUUGGGUGUUAGUUCUAAAAGUUCUUGUAGGUCUUCAUAGAACCAUUCAACUUCAGCUUCUUCAGCAUUACUGGUUGGGGCAUAGACUUGGAUUACUGUGAUAUUGAAUGGUUUGCCUUGGAAACGAACAGAGAUCAUUCUGUCGUUUUUGAGACUGCAUCCAAGUACUGCAUUUCUGACUCUUUUGUUGACCAUGUUGGCUACUCCAUUUCUUCUAAGGGAUUCCUGCCCGCAGUAGUAUAUAUAACGGUCAUCUGAGUUAAAUUCACCCAUUCCAGUCCAUUUUAGUUCACUGAUUCCUAGAAUGUCGACGUUCACUCUUGCUCAGUCACUUGAAGUGAAGUGAAGUCGCUCAGUCGUGCCCGACUCUUUGCGACCCCGUGGACUGUAGCCCACCAGGCUCCCCCAUCCAUGGGAUUCUCCAGGCAAGAACACUGGAGUGGAUUGCCAUUUCCUUCAUCAGGGGAUCUUCCUGACCCAGAAGACAGACUUAAAUAGCAGGAUGCACGUGGAGUGAGCUGGAGGCCACGAGAGGACAGACCACACCAGGCUCUGUGGAAUGGAAUCCUGAAUCCAGCGGUGCUCUGGGCGCUGGAGAACACAGUCGCUUUAAACCGUGUAACCCCAUCACAGAGAAAUGGAAGAAGAAAUUGAGCCUCUGUUGGCCUCUGGAUCUUGGAGUAUGCCCUUCCCACUUUUAUCACUAACCUGGAGAAUUCUGGAGACACUUCGUUUGCAUUUAAAGGAAUGUUUGCAUAGGAGGAGUCUUUCUGAAAUUGUUUGCAUCUGGGGAUUCAAAUUGCCUAAUUGGGUCCAGGAGUACUUUCUUAUUUGUGCGGUGAGGUGGCCUGGAUGGAGCCCACCUGACCUCCUGCCCUGAAGUGGGAUUCGUCUGCUCAGGUUGUCAAGGGUGUGGGAGGGGAUGGUGAGCAUUGCCUGUAGCACAGCAGGGCACUCCAGCUACUCAGGAAGUCCCAGGCUGCCUUUCCAUGUAACUGCGCCAAGGGAAAGCUUCCCAGACCUUUUGGAGUUCAAACAGCUCUUGUAAAAUGGCAUUUUGAUGAGCUGAGCAUAAAUGAAUUGGAAAUGUUCAGAUAAUGUUUCCCCAGGGUUUAAAAACCAAGGAGAAACGUGCUUGGCAAAGGGUCUAAGGGGCUGGGCCAAGAGUUUGAAAAGUGAUUUGAGAUGCUGUGAUGAACCCAAAUUACCACCAGUUUCUCCCAUCUUUGCUGGUGCAGAGGGCCUGAGGGAAGGGGCCUCAGGCAGGAGGAAAGAGCUCCUUUCUCCACCAGGGGGAAGGGAGAGCAGCUUUGACACCAUGGUCAUCUAAAGUGGGGCUUUCUCUAUGGGCUGAGUUUACUAUCAGAUCUGUCUAGCCAUCUCUCCAUCCAUUAUUCCAUCCAUCCUUCCAUCCAUCUAUCCAUCAUUCCAUCCAUCCAUUCAUCCAUCCAUCAUUCCACCCAUCCUUCUGUCCACCUAUCCAUCUAAUGAGUACUUAUUAAGCACGCACUGUGGACAUGACUCUGAGAAGACAGAAGAUAAUGAGCCUCAGUCCCUGACCUUUCAGAUCUCAGAGUUCUGGUGGGAGAAACCUGAGGACAGGCAGGGGCUACAGGAGUCAGGGUAAGAAUGGUACCCCUUUGAGACUCUCAGAGUGACAGCUUUGCCAACGUUUCCAGUGGCAGCCUGGUGGGGUGAUAGGAUGUCUGCAAGUUGGGCCAGGGCCCCCCAAGAUGAGAUGCCAUUUGGAAUGGAAAGUGAAGGAAGGGGUUCACCCUACACUUGAGCCCAAAGCUGUACCAAAACUACUCCAGGACAGUGGAUUCUAGAGAAUACAGCAGUGGAAGGGUCAUCAGUGCCAGAGGAGAGCUCUAUCCCUCUAAACACUGUCCUAGGACCAUUGCUCAUUACCCCAUGCAGCUCCCACAGAAACCCCGGAAGAUACUCCUAUCCUCCCUUAGAAAAGAGAGGUUUUUAGGGUAGGGACUUGGCCCAUGGUUACCUGGAUGGAAAGAUGGGAACUGGCACCCCCAUCUGCACUGGGUGAUGGGGCUCCUUUCUAGAGGAAAGCAGAACCAGGACACCAGCGGCCACAAACUCCAGGGUCUGCUGUCAGGCUGGGAUGCAGUGUUGACCUUAGCCAGGAGAGAAACUGUUUAGCGUGGCAAGCCUGUAAGCUGCAAGGAUACGCCAGCCCAGGGAAGUCUCUUGAUGCACCUAAAUUCUUUUUGGUGCAGAAGACAGAAUCUUGGGAGAGAUUUGGAGACCACUGGAUCUGAUUUCUAAUUAUGCUGACCCAUCCUGUCCCAAAAGGGAACUUUUUUUUAUUAAUAAAAAACUCUUUAUUUUAUACUGGAAUAUAGCUGAUUAAUGCUUCCUAGGUGGUGCAGUGGUAAAGAAUCUGCCUGACAACGCAGGAAAUGCAGGCUACAUUGGUUUGAUCCCUGUGUGGGAAGAUCCCCUGGAGGAGGAAACCCACUCCAGUAUUCUUGCCUGGAAAAUCCCAUGGACAGAGGAGCCCCGUGGACUACAGUUCAUGGGGUCACAAACAGUCAGACACAACUGAAUGAGCACUGGCACUGGCUUAGCCGGUUGACAAGGUUAUGACAGUUUCAGGUGGACAUUGGGGGGAUUCAGUCACACAUAUGCAUGCAUCCAUCCUCCAAACUCCCCUCCCAUCCAGGCUGUCACAGAAAAUUGAGCGGAAUUCCUGAAAGGGAACUUAAAUAUGGCCUUUUUUUCUUUCUUAGACAUGAUUAUGCUUAGUGUCUGUGGUACAGACUUAAAUACUGAGGAACCUAAGAUGCACAUUUCAGCCUUUUCUUUGUCGCUUACCCUUGCCAACAUGCACUGCUGGGUGAAAGGAUUCUGAUUGACAUGUGCACCCUGGCCUGCUUCUAAAUAUAGAAUCACUGCAAGUGCGACAGCUACAAAGGCAGACCAGAGCCGGGGUGUGGUGCCGGCAAUGGAAACACCUGGAAGGCACUGGUGUUUGUGUUCUAAUUGUCCAGACUGAAGAAUGGCUCUUGGAAAAACUCCAAGCCAAUCUAAGUACUGUACAGACUUUUCUUGAUGUGUGCAGUGGAUGGCAUUAUUGAGAGUCAGUGUAUUUUAAAUCAUGGUUUGUUUUUUUUAAAUAAAAACAACCCAACACAAUAUUUACACGUC
ensembl:lncRNA